CGGGCAGGCGGCACGAGGGCCGUCGGUUCGUCUCCGGGCCCCAGCAGCGGAAAAGCGCCUAGAAUUCGUGGUCUUCCCCGUGCGCGGCAGGGGCGCGGGGGAGCGUGAGCCGUUGGUUCUGAAAGCGGGGAGGGGCCGGAGGGCCACGUCGGCGUCGGCGUCGGCGUCGGCUAGCGGCAGGCAGCCCACCGAGAGCGGCGUGUUGUGGAGGACACGGGGAAACGACGCCGGACAUGUGUUGGGACGGGCCCUGGGGUACGAGAUUUAUUUUUUUUUUUUGGCGGUUCUUUCCUCUCUUUCUGAUGACUGUGAGCGGAGGGGAUGGUUUCAAUAAAAAUAAGGCCUUGUUUACUUCUAAAAUUUUUUGCAAAAUAUAAAUAGUAGUACUUUCGUUUGUAUUUGACAAAUAUUGUCUAAUUAUGGACUAACUAGGCUCAAAAAAUUCGUCUCGAUAAUUCCGACCAAAUUGUGUAAUUAGUUUUUAUUUUCAUCUAUAUUUAAUACUUCAUGCAUACGUCUAAAGAUUCGAUGUGACGGGAAAUCUGAAAAAUUUUGCAAAAUUUUUGGAAACUAAACAAGGCCUAAAAUCCAUCACCAGUUUCUAAAUUUCUCUAAAUUUAUUUGGGUGUGCCAUUCCAAUCCUUAAACUCGCAAAACGAUUAUUUAGAUACUUAAACUUGUUCAAUUGUGUCAUUCUGCUCCUUAAACUUUUAAAUCUCUCAUAUAGGUUCUCAAACUUGUUCAGUUGUGUCGUCCCGAUUUCUAAACUUAUUUUUAAGACUCAUCUGGAUCAAAAACCGGGUGAAUCUAAAAACUUUAUAUGAAAAAAUAACUCAUAUUUUUUCAUAUGAACUCAAAUAAAGAUAUAUUUUAUAUCAAAAUUGUAGCCAGCAGUGUGAUUUACAACUUUAUAGUUGAAAAGUUUUUAAAUUAAAAUCAUUUAGAGUCUCAAUAAUUUCUGAUGACUUUGUUUGGCAAGCUUUACCUGCUGUAGGUACUGCUGGGAGCAUCUUUGUUGGGAGGUAACAGUACAAAUUUGAAGUGCUUUAUUGGUAAAUGAGAUUUUUUUAGUGUGGCCAGUGUAUUUUAAAACUGUGUUGACAACUUUAUCUGAAAUUGUUGCAGAUGGGUCCCUUACAAGGAGGAAAAACAGAUUUCUUGCAAGAACUUGAGGGCCUCCUAGAUAACUGGGAAGGUCCUACAAUUAUUGGGGGAGGUUUUAAUCUAGUGACAAAUGCU
rnacentral:lncRNA from 1 species